AAAAACAUGUCUCCUUGUGGCUUUUAAAUAAGGAGUCGGGCCUGCUCGGUGAGAAAUAUUUUAACAGCUGCGGUAUUUUAACUGUACUAAGGUAGCAUAAUAAUUUGCCUUAUAAAUUGAGGCUAGAAUGAAUGGUUUGACGAAGGUUAAUCUGUCUCUAAUUUAUUUUUUAGAAUUUAAUUUUCAAAGUGAAAAAGCUUGAAUCUUUUAAAGGGACGAGAAGACCCUAUUGAGCUUGGAAUUUUUAUUCCCUUCAGAGUAGACUGUAUUUAUAAUARAUGCGGGGGAUAUAAAUUUUAAUUGGGGUGAUUAAGGAAUAAAGUGUAUAGUAACUUCCUUAGUAGUAUAUAUUGUUGAAUGAAGUAACCAAUAAGAUUAGUAUAUUGAUUAUAAUGUAGUUAACAUAGGGAUAACAGCGUAAUUUAUUUAGAGAGUUCUUAUUGAAAAAUAAGAUUGCGACCUCGAUGUUGGAUUAAAGUAACCUUAAGGUGCAGAAGCUUUAAUAGGUAAAUCUGUUCGAUUUUUAAAACUUUACRUGAUCUGA
rnacentral:rRNA from 1 species